rnacentral:rRNA from 1 species
AUUCGAUUAGAGUUUGAUCCUGGCUCAGAUUGAACGCUGGCGGCAUGCCUUACACAUGCAAGUCGAACGGCAGCACGGGAGCAAUCCUGGUGGCGAGUGGCGAACGGGUGAGUAAUAUAUCGGAACGUGCCCAGUCGUGGGGGAUAACGCAGCGAAAGCUGUGCUAAUACCGCAUACGAUCUCUGGAUGAAAGCGGGGGACUCGCAAGGGCCUCGCGCGAUUGGAGCGGCCGAUAUCAGAUUAGCUAGUUGGUGGGGUAAAAGCCCACCAAGGCGACGAUCUGUAGCUGGUCUGAGAGGACGACCAGCCACACUGGAACUGAGACACGGUCCAGACUCCUACGGGAGGCAGCAGUGGGGAAUUUUGGACAAUGGGCGAAAGCCUGAUCCAGCAAUGCCGCGUGCAGGAUGAAGGCCUUCGGGUUGUAAACUGCUUUUGUACGGAACGAAACGGUCGCCUCUAAUACGGGUGGCUAAUGACGGUACCGUAAGAAUAAGCACCGGCUAACUACGUGCCAGCAGCCGCGGUAAUACGUAGGGUGCGAGCGUUAAUCGGAAUUACUGGGCGUAAAGCGUGCGCAGGCGGUUAUAUAAGACAGAUGUGAAAUCCCCGGGCUCAACCUGGGACCUGCAUAUGUGACUGUAUAGCUAGAGUACGGUAGAGGGGGAUGGAAUUCCGCGUGUAGCAGUGAAAUGCGUAGAUAUGCGGAGGAACACCGAUGGCGAAGGCAAUCCCCUGGACCUGUACUGACGCUCAUGCACGAAAGCGUGGGGAGCAAACAGGAUUAGAUACCCUGGUAGAAUCACUAGUGAAUUC